AGUGAGCGCUGGCGGUAGGCCUAACACAUGCAAGUCGAACGGCAGCACAGUAAGAGCUUGCUCUUACGGGUGGCGAGUGGCGGACGGGUGAGGAAUACAUCGGAAUCUACUUUUUCGUGGGGGAUAACGUAGGGAAACUUACGCUAAUACCGCAUACGACCUACGGGUGAAAGCAGGGGAUCUUCGGACCUUGCGCGAUUGAAUGAGCCGAUGUCGGAUUAGCUAGUUGGCGGGGUAAAGGCCCACCAAGGCGACGAUCCGUAGCUGGUCUGAGAGGAUGAUUAGCCACACUGGAACUGAGACACGGUCCAGACUCCUACGGGAGGCAGCAGUGGGGAAUAUUGGACAAUGGGCGCAAGCCUGAUCCAGCCAUACCGCGUGGGUGAAGAAGGCCUUCGGGUUGUAAAGCCCUUUUGUUGGGAAAGAAAAGCAGCAGGUUAAUACCCCGCUGUUCUGACGGUACCCAAAGAAUAAGCACCGGCUAACUUCGUG
rnacentral:rRNA from 1 species